GCCUCGGUAGUCUAAUGGCUCAGGACACUCGUAAUACAAGAGAUUCGGGUUCAAGUCCCGGCCGAGGUA
rnacentral:tRNA from 1 species